rnacentral:lncRNA from 1 species
CUGCUCCUCUUUGUCCCUUAUGCGGCACUGAACCGGAAACGGUUGAACAUACAUUCCUUCUCUGCCCUUGGUUAUCACAGCUAUGGGCCUCCCUGCAGGUUCAAGUGAAUCGAGUGGGUUUAUCCCGAUUUGAUGAAUGGUUGUAUAAGACUUAUACUAGAUCAAAGCACUUACAAAACUUCGAACUGAUUGCGAAUGCAUUAUGGUGCAUAUGGAAAGAUCGCAAUCACUUCAUAUUCAGAAAAAGUCCCCUUAACUUCCAGCAUACCCUGUUUAGAGCUAUCAGCUUACAAGACAGCUUCGCCACAUGGACUUCCAACGCAAAGAAACAGAUUAACGGAGCUGAUUUACAGAACAAAUGGCAACCCC